CCAGGUUGCAAAUGGACACUAAGGCCACAGUCCUUGUUCUUCUGAUGCAGCCUCAUGGGCAAGUGCCAAAAUUUCUGUAACAUUGCCUUUUCUGGAUUUGAUGCCCUCCUAUUUAAUUCUGUAAGGAUUUGACAAAACAUAGUUCUACCAACUUACUUGACCUCAGAAAGCUAUUUUUUUCUUACUGGUUUUACACAAUG